GAUGAACGCUGGCGGCGUGCCUAAUACAUGCAAGUCGAGCGGCAGCACGGUCUUCGGACUGGUGGCGAGCGGCGGACGGCUGAGUAACGCGUAGGAACAUGCCCCAAAGUGAGGAAUAACUGCCCGAAAGGGUGGCUAAUGCCGCAUGUGGUCUUCGGACUAAAGCUUUAUGCGCUUUGGGAGUGGCCUGCGUCUGAUUAGCUUGUUGGUGAGGUAAUGGCUCACCAAGGCGACGAUCGGUAGCUGGUCUGAGAGGAUGAUCAGCCAGACUGGAACUGAGAACGGUCCAGACUCCUACGGGAGGCAGCAGUAGGGAAUUUUCCACAAUGGGCGAGAGCCUGAUGGAGCAACGCCGUGUGCGAUGAAGGCCCUAGGGUUGUAAAGCACUUUUGGCGGGGACGACGAUGACGGUACCCGCAGAAUAAGUCACGGCUAACUUCGUGCCAGCCGCCGCCGUAAGAC
rnacentral:rRNA from 1 species